CUCCUCACGUUGACAGCACAUAUACUAAACUUGGAAUGAUACAGAAAAUAUUAGCAUGGCCCCAUGCAAGGAUGACAAGAAAAUUCGUGAGGCCUUCCGUAUUUGU
rnacentral:snRNA from 1 species